AGCUAUUGAACUUGUAAAAGUAUAUAUUUUGAAAAUAUAAAAAAGAAUUAAUUUUCUAUUAGCUU
rnacentral:tRNA from 1 species